UCCCUGGUGGCUCAGAUGGUAAAGAAUCUGCCUGCAGUGCAGGAGACCUGGGUUUGAUCCCUGGUUUGGGAA
rnacentral:tRNA from 1 species